rnacentral:lncRNA from 1 species
UUUAUUUCGUCUCCAAAUCUACUUCCAGAGAUGGAUUUUUCCUAUAAAUAUGAAGUUCCUCUGUCAGUUUUGUGAGAAGCAAUUUUGCUAAGUUGUACUUGUUUUCUCUAUAUUGUUCAGUAAUAAAUAUCGUCACUUUACAAUUAACCCAUUUUGUUCUUCUUUACUUUAAAUCUUGUUUUCGUGGUGUGAUUUUGUUUACUUCAAUAUUGUCAUUAAAUCUCAUUCCUUACAAUCUGAUUUGGGAUCACCAAGUUGUAUUAGAGCUUUCCAACAGAGAGAUCACCAAGUGGUAUCAGAGCUUUCGCGCCCAACAAAGCUUUCAAAAAGUCCACUACAAUCUCCAGAUUAAGACAGUGCAAAUGUGACAGUUUUCCAAGUUGUAGAGGGACUACUAACUAGAAUCCAACCUGAGAAAGAUCAAGAUACUGCAAAUUUUUCAAAGAACCAAUGAAACUUGGAAUUCGAAUCACUUCAAGAUCAUUACAACUCAGAUCUAACCGAGUCGGAUACAUAGAAUCAAAGAAGGCUUCAGCUUCUCCUCUACUUAUAUCUCGAGUGAACUUCAAUAUCAGAAACAUCUACGCUAAACUCGGUGUAAGGUUCAACGUGACGAUUAUGAAGGCGAAUUUCAUGGACUCAAGAUGUUAUAUCAUCACAAACGAUCUCAACCCAUUUCCACUAGGGGUGGGCGUGGGUCGGUUCGGUAAAUGGAAUUGUCGG